CCAUGAUGCCAAGAGAGACCAUGUCACGACGGAUUGCGAAAUGUUAGAAGUACCGCAUACUAAUAUAGACUCGCCCCAUUCAAAGACGAGAAAAAGAAGUGCCGAUGAGAUUGAAUACCCUCGUAGCAAGCGUCACCGAGAAGAGGGUAUGGUGCCACCAACUUCAAACUGCAACCCAUGUUUACUACGUCCAACCCACAACAACCCUGAUAUAUCUCGUUGUCUCAUGGUCCAUAUGAUCUAAUCUCUACUUCUAUUAUGAAGCAAAAACCUAAUUCAGCAAUGUCCAUUUUAUCUACAGAAGUACAAAGAGAGAGAAACAUAGAACCUGAGACAAACGAGAACAAGAUAUCGGACAAGAAUACAGAAGACUUAUUGGAAACUUUGUACUGGAACAUUCACGGUGGAAACAUAUUUCAUAUAGUAUAAGUGUAUUUGACGUGCGAUUGUGAGAUUGUGUGAUAUGAUAUACCUGCAGUGAUAGAGACUUUAAAGUAUUUUGUGAUUUUCUCAUGUUUAAUAGUAAGGGUUUCAUAAUAAAAUUAAAGGAAAAAGGGAGGAUUUUCAUUUAUAUAAACUUUAAUACACUUUACGUAUUUAUUUAAAUAAAUAUUACAUAUUAUAUGAAAAUGUGUUAUGUAAAGAUACAUCAAUCACUAAUUCACUAAACAUAGUAGGAUACAAUUUAAAUAUUGGUGAAUGUUUUAGUAGUCAGGUUUUCCUCAAUCUUCUCAAGUUUCAAUCUGAAAAGGGAGAUAUUAAUGUAAUUAAUUUCUAUUUAUUUUGUUUUUCUGUUACAGAUGGUGAAGAAGAUUUAAUCAACUAUAUUUUCUUUCAGGAUUCACUCAAACAAUGAACAAACAAAAAGUUUGUGGUUUGAGUGUUUGCUCCACUAUGGACAUAAUAUUGAAUUCACCUUUUUGCUUUUCAGAUGAUUCUUCCAUGUGCAGCCUCGUUGGCACACGGUCAAGCCCGAGCCACUCCGCUUCCGCCUUUAAUAUAAACAUACCACAAUUUUACGUAUUGAAUAUAAAAUACAGAUUACUGUUUAAUUUUAGUAUUAUAUAGUGGAGUAAAGAAGGAGGAUUUUGUUAACUGUGAUACUUUUACCAUUAUUGUAAUAAAAUAAUUUAUAUGAAACUUAUAAAA